GACGAACGCUGGCGGCGUGCCUAAUACAUGCAAGUCGAACGCAGUGGGGACGGGUGAGUAACACGUGGGUAACCUCCCAUCCGUGGGGAUACCACUUGGAAACAGGUGCUAAACCGAUACUGAUGGAUGAACCCGCUGUGCAUUAGCUAGUUGGUGAGGUAACGGCUCACCAAGGCCACGAUGCAUAGCAGACCUAGGAGAGUGAUCGGCCACACGAGGACGGAGACACAGCCAAGACGCCUGAGGGAGGCAGCAGUAGGGAAUCUUCGGCAAUGGACGAAAGUCGGACCGAGCAACGCCGAGUGAGUGAAGAAGGUUUUCGGAUCGUAAAACUCUGUUGUUAGAGAAGCGGUAUCUAACCAGAAAGCCACGGCUAACUACGUGCCAGCAGCCGCGGUAAUAC
rnacentral:rRNA from 1 species